GACAGAGGUGGCAAGCGUUGUUCGGAUUCAUUGGGUGUAAAGGGCAGGUAGGCUGUUUUAUAAGUCUGACGUGAAAUCCCAGGGCUCAACCCUGGAACUGCGUUGGAAACUAUAUGACUUGAGUAUCGGAGAGGUGAAGGGAAUUCUCGGUGUAAGGGUGAAAUCUGUAGAUAUCGAGAGGAACACCAGUGGCGAAAGCGCUUCACUGGCCGGUUAUUGACACUGAGGGACGAAAGCAAGGGGAG
rnacentral:rRNA from 1 species